UACGUAGGAUGCAAGCGUUGUCCGGAAUCACUGGGCGUAAAGGGCGCGUAGGCGGCUUGAUAAGCGUGCGGUGAAAGCCCGGGGCUCAACCCCGGGUCGGCCGUGCGAACUGUCGAGCUGGAGCACUGUAGAGGCAGGUGGAAUUCCGGGUGUAGCGGUGGAAUGCGUAGAGAUCCGGAAGAACACCGGUGGCGAAGGCGGCCUGCUGGGCAGUAGCUGACGACUGAGGCGCGGACAGCGUGGGAGACCAACAG
rnacentral:rRNA from 1 species